ACGGGUGCGUAACGCGUGGGAAUCUGCCCCUUGGUUCGGAAUAACAGUUGGAAACGACUGCUAAUACCGGAUGAUGACGAAAGUCCAAAGAUUUAUCGCCAAGGGAUGAGCCCGCGUAGGAUUAGCUAGUUGGUGAGGUAAAGGCUCACCAAGGCAACGAUCCUUAGCUGGUCUGAGAGGAUGAUCAGCCACACUGGGACUGAGACACGGCCCAGACUCCUACGGGAGGCAGCAGUAGGGAAUAUUGGACAAUGGGCGAAAGCCUGAUCCAGCAAUGCCGCGUGAGUGAUGAAGGCCUUAGGGUUGUAAAGCUCUUUUACCCGAGAUGAUAAUGACAGUAUCGGGAGAAUAAGCCCCGGCUAACUCCGUGCCAGCAGCCGCGGUAAUACGGAGGGGGCUAGCGUUGUUCGGAAUUACUGGGCGUAAAGCGCUCGUAGGCGGUUAUUCAAGUCAGAGGUGAAAGCCCAGUGCUCAACACUGGAACUGCCUUUGAAACUAGAUAGCUUGAAUCCAGGAGAGGUGAGUGGAAUUCCGAGUGUAGAGGUGAAAUUCGUAGA
rnacentral:rRNA from 1 species